rnacentral:rRNA from 2 species
UUAGGUGACUAUUGCGGCGGGGUUCCACCUCUUCCCAUUCCGAACAGAGAAGUUAAGACCGCCAGCGCCGAUGGUACUGCAAUUAUUGUGGGAGAGUAGGUCGUCGCCAUUC